rnacentral:rRNA from 1 species
UACGAGGGGGGCGAGCGUUGUUCGGAUUCAUUGGGCGUAAAGGGUGCGUAGGCGGCGCGGUAAGUCGGGUGUGAAAUCUCGGAGCUUAACUCCGAAACUGCAUUCGAUACUGCCGUGCUUGAGGACUGGAGAGGAGACUGGAAUUUACGGUGUAGCGGUGAAAUGCGUAGAUAUCGUAAGGAAGACCAGUGGCGAAGGCGGGUCUCUGGACAGUUCCUGACGCUGAGGCGCGAAAGCUAGGGGAGCAAACGGG